rnacentral:rRNA from 1 species
GACGAACGCUGGCGGCGUGCUUAACACAUGCAAGUCGAACGGAAAGGCCCUGCUUUUGUGGGGUGCUCGAGUGGCGAACGGGUGAGUAACACGUGAGUAACCUGCCCUUGACUUUGGGAUAACUUCAGGAAACUGGGGCUAAUACCGGAUAGGAGCUCAUGCUGCAUGGUGGGGGUUGGAAAGUUUCGGCGGUUGGGGAUGGACUCGCGGCUUAUCAGCUUGUUGGUGGGGUAGUGGCUUACCAAGGCUUUGACGGGUAGCCGGCCUGAGAGGGUGACCGGCCACAUUGGGACUGAGAGACGGCGCAGACUCCUACGGGAGGCAGCAGUGGAGAAUAUUGCACAAUGGGCGGAAGCCUGAUGCAGCAACGCCGCGUGCGGGAUGACGGCCUUCGGGUUGUAAACCGCUUUCGCCUGUGACGAAGCGUGAGUGACGGUAAUGGGUAAAGAAGCACCGGCUAACUACGUG